UGGGAUUCUCUCCCCCGCUCUCUCUGCCCCUCCCCACUCUCAAAAGAAAUUAACUUCAAAAAGAAAGCAAGACAAAGAUGUCCAAGAACUCUGGCAUCGGAGAGACGGAGGUAGAAAAGGAUAAAAGAUCAAAAGGCCGAGAGACGCAGUGACAAGGGUCCAGGGUCACACACGGAAGCUGAAUGCUGAGCCAAGCCUCAAAGGUGGGCUUCCUGAUUCCAACCCAGCGCUCCUUCCCCUGAGCUCGUCGCCCCAUCCAGAAGGCCUGGCUGGCCUGCCUUCUCUCCGCUGCCCUGGUGUUGCGGGGUGGGGGGGAAGCCCACGGCCGGUGGCCCGUGGCUCCAAGCCCCUCACAUGUGGAUGACAGCGGCACACAGGCCGGCCUGUGACCAUGUGUGGGCCUAAGCAGCAGGUUCCUCUGUUUGCAAGCACAUAAGUGGACUCUUGCCAGCUCAAGCCAUAAAUGGGGGUGAACUGGGGAGUCCUGGGGCUCCCAGCUAACAGCAUGGGCCUUGGGAGAACAGCGUCGAGAGCGGCUUCGGACUGGCCCCGUGCCCUGGACCCUCCCACCAGCGAUGGCCCUGUCUGCCCCUCACCUGCCAUUCUCACAGGUCCCGCUCUUCGUUUUCUCUCUGUCAUUCAUUCGACCCUCCCUGAAGCUCUCAUUGAUGUACUACAGGCACCUGGUGCCGUGGAGACGCUCCUCACCCCUCUCACACACAACCGAGGGGCCUGCAGCCUUGGGACGGCCUGCCUGUGGUGGGGCCAGCUCCGUGUCUUGAUCUCGCCACCCAGCCUGGGGACGCUUAGGAUUGACCUGACCGAGCCAGCCAGCAUAGUCACAUAUGGACAGAAAGUGCUAGAAGGUGUUUUAAUCUGCUCCCCAAGUUCCCAUGCGGAACAGGGUCUGUGAAGGAUUCCAGAGCUGGAUUUCCCUGACUCAUCAUCCUUGAGAUUCUGUCAGUGGAGUUUUUUCUAGAGAGGGAGGCCUGCCCUUUGGCUUAGUUGCAGAACUGCCCCCAGCACUCCCUCAGCUCAACCUCCCCCUCCUCUCCCCCUCCACUCCCUCGGGACUCCCUCCGGGUGUCUCUAGGUCACAAUAUCCUCCUGCUCUUUGGGGGGAGCCUGACCAGAGGCCCUUUUGUUGUUUCUACUCCUGUUCUCACAAAAGUCCCUGUGGAGGGGGAAAAAUGUCACCUAGAUAAAGACACAGAGCAUAAAGAAGAAAAAACCCAAAGAGUGACAUUUGGGAAAGUUUAGACAAGAAUAGCCUGGACAGGGCUGAGCUUGGGAAGAGGGAGAAGGUCAGAGCCUGGGGGAUUAGGGACGUCAGACAGCUGACAUGGUGACAGAUGUCUGGCCCUGGGUUUCUCUUUCGUAAUGACCAGAGUUUGCUCACUGAGCUCUGCCAGAGCACUCGCUAUGUGCUAAGCACCUUCCGCUGAUUGUCUCACUUAAUUCACAAGACACCCCUGGGAGAUCCUUACCGUUAUUAACUCAAAUGGAAGAUGGGGAAACUGAGGUUCAGGGAGGUAAAGUAACUUUCCCAGGGUCUCAUGCCCAUCUGGCUACGGCACAACAGGCUACCAGGGCCCCCCGUGGUUUUGAAGCUCAGAGCAACCGGGAUGUCUGAGUACCAUAAAGUUUUAUCUGAGCAGAUGAGCCUUGCUGAGAGAAAUCCUUGUGCUCCCAGAGAACAGGGUGGAAAAUGGGAAAGAAACUAGCUUUGGAGUCGGAAAUCCUGGAGCCCCAACACAGGCUUUGCCUCUCGCUAUUGAAUUACCUUGAACUUACUGUAGGGAGCCCAAGAAGAAAAGUAGCAUGAUUGGCCAGGCUUGGAUCAUGCCAUCACACCCAGGCCAAUCAUUU